GAUGAAGAACGCAGCAAAAUGCGAUAAGUAAUGUGAAUUGCAGAAUUCAGUGAAUCAUCGAAUCUUUGAACGCACAUUGCGCCCGCCAGUAUUCUGGCGGGCAUGCCUGUUCGAGCGUCAUUUCAACCCUCAAGCACAGCUUGGUGUUGGGACUCGCGUUAAUUCGCGUUCCUCAAAUUGAUUGGCGGUCACGUCGAGCUUCCAUAGCGUAGUAGUAAAACCCUCGUUACUGGUAAUCGUCGCGGCCACGCCGUUAAACCCCAACUUCUGAAUGUUGACCUCGGAUCAGGUAGGAAUACCCGCUGAACUUAAGCAUAUCAAUAAGCGGAUGA
rnacentral:misc_RNA from 1 species